AUUCGCUCCCUCCCCCAAAUUGCCCCAAAUCCUAAUAAUUAGCCCCAAAUCUCCCCCGGAACCCCCAAACCCCGCAGUUUAGCCCCAAAUCACCCUGCCCCUCCCCAAUUGCCCCAAAUCCCUUAAAUUAGCCCCAAAAUUCCUCCCCAGAGCCCCCAGCCCCUCCGCAAUUUUCCCCUUUCCUCAAAUUGCCCAAAAUCCCUUAAAUUAACCCCAAAUCUCCCCACGUGGUUGCACCCAGGCCUUUAUUGCAAGGUUAUGGGGCAGGAUAUGGGGCAGGGUGGUGGUGGGGGGGGGGGCGGGUGGGGGGGGGGCUGGGGGGGGGGGGGGGAGAUGUGGGGCAGGCCUGGCCGUGGGGCAGCCAUGGGGCUGGCUAUGGGGCAGAUGUGGGGCUGGGGUAUCUAUGGGGCAGCCGUGGGGCUGGCUAUGGGGCAGGGUGGUGGUGGUGGGGAGCAGAUGUGGGUCUGUCCGUGGGUCAGAUCUGUCCGUGGGUCUGUCCAUGGGGCAGCUGUGGGGCAGGCCUGGUUGUGGGGCAGCCAUGGGGCAGCUGUGGGGCUGGGAUACCUAUGGGGCAGCCGUGGGGCAGGCUAUGGGGCAGGGCAGGGGGGCAGGUGUGGGUCCGGCCAUGGGUCCGAUCUGUCUGUGGGGCAGCUGUGGGGCAGUCAUGGGGCAGAUGUGGGGCUGGGGUAUCUAUGGGGCAGGUGUGGGUCCGGCCAUGGGUCCAGCCGUGGGUCCGAUCUGUCCGUGGGGCAGC
rnacentral:lncRNA from 1 species